rnacentral:rRNA from 1 species
GCUUACGGCCAUACCAGCCUGAAUACGCCCGAUCUCGUCCGUCUCGGAAGCUAAGCAGGGUCGGGCCUGGUUAGUACUUGGAUGGGAGACCGCCUGGGAAUACCAGGUGCUGUAAGCU